GACGAACGCUGGCGGCGCGCUUAACACAUGCAAGUCGAGCGAAGCGGCGGACGGGUGAGUAACACGUCAGUAACCUACCUUAGACAUUGGGAUAGCCUCCGGAAACCGGGAUUAAUACCAAAUGGUCUAAGAUGGACUCGCGUCCCAUUAGCUAGUUGGUGAGGUAACGGCCCACCAAGGCGCCGAUGGGUAGCCGGCCUGUGAGGGUGAACGGCCACAUUGGAACUGAGAAACGGUCCAAACUCUACGGAAGGGAGCAGUGGGGAAUAUUGCACAAUGGAGGGAACUCUGAUGCAGCGAGGCCGUGUAAACGAAGAAGGCUUUCGAGUCGUAAAGUUCUUUUAUAUGGGAAGCGGUACCAUAAGAAAAAGUCCCGGCUAACUACGUGCCAGCAGCCGCGGUAAUAC
rnacentral:rRNA from 1 species